GACGAACGCUGGCGGCGCGCUUAACACAUGCAAGUCGAACGGAAAGGCCUGCUUUCCCUUGUGGAUUGCGGGUACUCGAGUGGCGAACGGGUGAGUAACACGUGAGUGAUCUGCCCCCAACUUGGGUAUAAGCCUGGGAAACUGGGUCUAAUUCCCGAUAGGACUGCAGGGUGGUGCCUGUGGUGGAAAACGAUUUUCUAGUGGUUGGGGAUGAGCUCGCGGCCUAUCAGCUUGUUGGUGGGGUAAUGGCCUACCAAGGCGACGACGGGUAGCCGGCCUGGGAGGGUGGACGGCCACAUUGGGACUGAGAUACGGCCCAGACUCCUACGGGAGGCAGCAGUGGGGAAUAUUGCACAAUGGGCGGAAGCCUGAUGCAGCGACGCCGCGUGGGGGAUGACGGCCUUCGGGUUGUAAACUCCUUUCGACCGCGAGGAAGCCACCUGGUUGGAAGGGUGGUGACGGUAGUGGUAGAAGAAGCACCGGCUAACUACGUG
rnacentral:rRNA from 1 species